ensembl:snRNA U6 U6 spliceosomal RNA
GUGCUCGCUUCGGCAGCACAUACACUAAAAUUGGAACGAUACAGAGAAGAUUAGCACGGCCCCUGCGCAACAAUGACACACAGAUUUGUGAAGCAUUCCAUAUGUUA